rnacentral:rRNA from 1 species
CCGAAAGGGUGACGAAGCGACGCGGCGUGGGUGAGGAAGGCCUUCGGGUUGUAAAGCCCUGUCAGGAGUUAAGAAAUGUAAGUGCGCUAAUAUCGCAUUUAUUUGACGAAGGCUCCAAAGGAAGUCACGGCUAACUCUGUGCCAGCAGCCGCGGUAAUACAGAGGUGGCAAGCGUUGUUCGGAAUUAUUGGGCGUAAAGAGCACGUAGGUGGGUUUGUAAGUCAGAUGUGAAAGCCUUCUGUUCAACGGAAGAAUUGCAUCUGAAACUGCGAGUCUUGAGUGUAGGAGGGGAGAAUGGAACUUCUGGUGGAGCGGUGAAAUGCGUAGAUAUCAGAAGGAACGCCGGCGGCGAAAGCGAUUCUCUGGCCUAUUACUGACACUCAGUGUGCGAA